AUUGAACGCUGGCGGCAGGCCUAACACAUGCAAGUCGAACGAGUGGCGGACGUGUGAGUAAUGUCUGGGAAACUGCCUGAUGGAGGGGGAUAACUACUGGAAACGGUAGCUAAUACCGCAUACCAUCGGAUGUGCCCAGAUGGGAUUAGCUAGUAGGUGGGGUAAAGGCUCACCUAGGCGACGAUCCCUAGCUGGUCUGAGAGGAUGACCAGCCACCCUGGAACUGAGACACGGUCCAGACUCCUACGGGAGGCAGCAGAGGGGAAUAUUGCACAAUGGGGUGAAGCCUGAUGCAGCCAUUCCGCGGGUAUGAAGAAGGCCUUCGGGUUGUAAAGUACUUUCAGCGGGGAGGCGUUACCCGCAGAAGAAGCACCGGCGAACUCCGUGCCAGCAGCCGCGGUAAUAC
rnacentral:rRNA from 1 species